GGCGAAGUGGCGGAACUGGCAGACGCACCAGACUCAAAAUCUGGCGAACCUUCGGGUUCGUGUGGGUUCGACCCCCACCUUCGCCACCA
rnacentral:tRNA from 1 species